GACGAACGCUGGCGGCGUGCCUAAUACAUGCAAGUCGAACGAACUGACGCUGGAACUUGUUCCAGUUGACGUGAGUGGCGAACGGGUGAGUAACACGUGGGGAACCUACCCUUCAGCGGGGGAUAACCGUCGGAAACGAUGGCUAAUACCGCAUAACACUUUGUACCACAUGGUACGGAGUUAAAAGACGGCUUCGGCUGUCACUGAAGGAUGGUCCCGCGGUGCAUUAGCUAGUUGGUAGGGUAAAGGCCUACCAAGGCGAUGAUGCAUAGCCGACCUGAGAGGGUGAUCGGCCACACUGGGACUGAGACACGGCCCAG
rnacentral:rRNA from 1 species